rnacentral:snRNA from 1 species
GAAUAUGAGAGCUAUCUGACUGUGAUAGCUGUUACCUCACUGAUUGCCAGGAUGGAUUCAGCUGAUCUGGCAGGCUAGGCAUGUGUCCCCUUCCUUCCUUUCCAUUCCAUAUGUACCCUCCCAAAGCUGCAUAUUUAAUGAAAGAGGGCAACUAUCCCAAAUGGAAGGAUUGGGCCAUUCUUUGCAUGGUAACUGCUUCCCUGCUACCAGGGAAGUGGACACCACUUUACAAAACUGAUGUAGUAAGGAGUGUGAUGUACAUACCCAAUUCUUCCACU